GAUAGAACGCUGACGGCGUGCCUAACACAUGCAAGCCGAACGGAACUUUACAGAUUGAGACUUCGGUCGAUUGAAGUUUAAGUUUAGUGGCGGACGGGUGAGUAACGCGUGAGUAACCUGCCUUUCACAGGGGGAUAACGUUUGGAAACGAACGCUAAUACCGCAUAACAUAGCGGAGUCGCAUGGCUCUGCUAUCAAAGAUUUUAUCGGUGAAAGAUGGACUCGCGUCCGAUUAGGUAGUUGGUGAGGUAACGGCUCACCAAGCCGACGAUCGGUAGCCGGACUGAGAGGUUGAACGGCCACAUUGGGACUGAGACACGGCCCAG
rnacentral:rRNA from 1 species